rnacentral:lncRNA from 1 species
CCUGGUGCUCCAGAAACUUACUAGAGCACUCGGCUCCAUCUACCUCCUUUGGAGUGUUUUUAUUUGAAGACUGCGAACAUCUCCAGAACAGGAGACAUUUGGAAGAGCCCGUGCCUACUGGUAUCUGAAACUUGGCUGCUCAUGUGAGUGGGUGCUUUAUUUUUAUUUUUAU